GAUAAGCAGAGGAGAUAGAGCACAUCUGAGUUGGAAUCGCCGCAUGCCCAUCAGGAGGCCAGGGCUGUGAACCUGCCCGAUCACUGGCAGUCAACCAGGCCCUUCUUUAUCUGGAAAAACUGCCCUUAGGACAGCCUAGUGCUGCAGUGAACAAUGGAGGGAAAUGGAAGCCCAAGCUUCGGUGCUGGGAUCCUGCCACCCACACUCCUUUGCACUGUUAUUUCUGGCAAAGCAGACGUGUGGGAAGAGGUACGAAUGAAGCCUGCGAACGAAGCGGAAGUGGAAACGCGGUGGUACGAGGGAAAUUGAAGAUUGUUUGCCCAGCUUCAGGGAUUUAGUUACAAAAGAGUCAGAGAGCAGCGUCAGUGGGUGUGGGGUGGUGGCUGUUACAGCCUGUGUCUGGAACAUCGCGCAGAGGCUCCUGGGUUGAAGACUUGGUUCCCAGGGCUGCAGUAUUCAGAGGUGGGGCUUUGGGAAGUGUUAGGAUCAAGAGGGUUCAGAGCUCAUCAAUGAAGCCAUCCACUGAGAGUGGAUUUUUUAGUUUGAUGGGUUUGGGACAAGAUGGAAACUUAUGAGGUGGGGUCUAGCUGAAAAGAGGUCCUUGGCGGUGUGCCCUUUGGGGGACAGUAUCUCAUUCUUGACCUUGUUACUUUCUGACCACCGUGAGGUCAAACGGACCCACUUGAGGUUAACUUCUUUGGAGUUCCUUCCUAUGUGGAUUUCAGAGAGCCUGGAAGGCUGAGCCUCAUUAUGAUGCAACAACCAACCAUGGAUUCCGGUUGUGGCCAUUAGGGGGCAGCAUUUUGGGUUCUGUUCAUUUCCAGAGGCCGUCCUCAUCGGGCUACAGUGAUGUCACCUGAGGGACAGAAUGCACACCUGUCUGAGCUAUGCAGUUCGUGAACCCAAAGCCAGGCCUUUGUUUCAACUGAGCCCAAGAAUAAGAGGCUGAGUCCGUGGAUGGCCUCACUGGGAAGGCUGGUCACCUGAUAUGGCAAGGUGGGGUGAACACCAGAGGACUGUAUCUGUUGUACUUCAUCGCCAU
rnacentral:sRNA from 1 species